AUUGAACGCUGGCGGCAGGCCUAACACAUGCAAGUCGAGCGAGCGGCGGACGGGUGAGAAAUGUAUGGGGACUGCCCGAUAGAGGGGGAUAACUCCUGGAAACGGUAGCUAAUACCGCAUACUAUCGCAUAAACCAUAUGUGAUUAGCUAGUAGGUGUGGUAAUGGCUCACCUAGGCGACGCUCCCUAGCUUGUUUGAGAGGAUGAUCAGCCACCCUGGGACUGAGACACGGCCCAGACUCCUACGGAGGCAGCAGUGGGGAAUAUUGCACAAUGGGCGCAAGCCUGAUGCAGCCAUGCCGCGUGUAUGAAGAAGGCCCUAGGGUUGUAAAGUACUUUCAGUCGGGAGGCGUUACCGACAGAAGAAGCACCGGCUAACUCCGUGCCAGCAGCCGCGGUAAUAC
rnacentral:rRNA from 1 species